UUACACAAAUAUGAAGGCGGGCUGGAACCUCUCGGGGUUACAGCCUUGCUGAAUUAUUCACCCUUGUCUUUUGCGUACUUCUUGUUUCCUUGGUGGGUUCGCCCACCACUAGGACAAACAUAAACCUUUUGUAAUUGCAAUCAGCGUCAGUAACAAAUUAAUAAUUACAACUUUCAACAACGGAUCUCUUGGUUCUGGCAUCGAUGAAGAACGCAGCGAAAUGCGAUAAGUAGUGUGAAUUGCAGAAUUCAGUGAAUCAUCGAAUCUUUGAACGCACAUUGCGCCCUUUGGUAUUCCAAAGGGCAUGCCUGUUCGAGCGUCAUUUGUACCCUCAAGCUUUGCUUGGUGUUGGGCGUCUUGUCUCUAGCUUUGCUGGAGACUCGCCUUAAAGUAAUUGGCAGCCGGCCUACUGGUUUCGGAGCGCAGCACAAGUCGCACUCUCUAUCAGCAAAGGUCUAGCAUCCAUUAAGCCUUUUUUUCAACUUUUGACCUCGGAUCAGGUAGGGAUACCCGCUGAACUUAAGCAUAUCAAUAAGCGGAGGAAAAGAAACCAACAGGGAUUGCCCUAGUAACGGCGAGUGAAGCGGCAACAGCUCAAUUUGAAAUCUGGCUCUUUUAGAGUCCGAGUUGUAAUUUGCAGAGGGCGCUUUGGCUUUGGCAGCGGUCCAAGUUCCUUGGAACAGGA
rnacentral:rRNA from 1 species